UACGGAGGGUGCGAGCGUUGUCCGGAAUCACUGGGCGUAAAGGGCGCGUAGGUGGCUUUUCAAGCGCGCGGUGAAAGCCCGGGGCUUAACCCCGGGUCUGCAUUCGAUACGGGCUAGCUAGAGUGUGGUAGGGGAGAUCGGAAUUCCUGGUGUAGCGGUGAAAUGCGCAGAUAUCAGGAGGAACACCAGCGGCGAAGGCGGCGCUCUGGGCCGGAACUGACGCUGAGGAGCGAAAGCGUGGGUAGCAAACAGG
rnacentral:rRNA from 1 species